GUCUACAGCCAUACUACUCCAAACACGCUCGAUCUCGUCUGAUCUCGUAAGCUAAGCAGGGUCAGGUUGGGCCUGGUUAGUACUUGGCUGGGAGAAGAGGAGAUUAGGACACAGACA
rnacentral:rRNA from 1 species